UACGAAGGGGGCUAGCGUUGUUCGGAAUUACUGGGCGUAAAGCGCACGUAGGCGGAUAUUUAAGUCAGGGGUGAAAUCCCAGAGCUCAACUCUGGAACUGCCUUUGAUACUGGGUAUCUUGAGUAUGGAAGAGGUAAGUGGAAUUGCGAGUGUAGAGGUGAAAUUCGUAGAUAUUCGCAGGAACACCAGUGGCGAAGGCGGCUUACUGGUCCAUUACUGACGCUGAGGUGCGAAAGCGUGGGGAGCAAACAGGAUUAGAAACCCCCGUAGUCC
rnacentral:rRNA from 1 species